rnacentral:tRNA from 1 species
GGAAGAUUGGCAGAGAGGCUAAUUGCACCGCACUUGAAAUGCGGAGGUCCUGGCGACAGGUCCCGUGAGUUCGAAUCUCACAUCUUCCUCCA